GGGCCGUUAGCUCAAUUGGCAGAGCAACUGACUCUUAAUCAGUAGGCUGCAGGUUCGAUUCCUGCACGGCCCACCA
rnacentral:tRNA from 1 species